rnacentral:lncRNA from 1 species
UACUUUCGCGUUCUCUUCCGCAUUAGUGCAUCACCACGCGCAGCAGCGAGAGAAGGGGCUCCUCUUCCGCGUCUCUUCCGCCCGCAUCUGUCUGCGUCUCUUCCUUCUCAACACACGUUGCAAAUAAGAGAUGGAGCCCGUUCCAAGUUCAGAUCCAUCUCAGAUGAGGGGGAAAGCAUAUCUUCAUCAAGCACUCCCGGUCAGAUCCCUCCAUCCGGUCAUGCUUGCUCCUCUCGUCAAUCUGUGGAAGUGAAUCGGCCGCACGCGGGGUGGGGAUUGGGGAGGUGUGAAUUUGGCGUGGUCAACGUCACUUGCUGCAUCGUGAUAAGUCGUCGAGCGAGCCGCUACGGCUAGGGUGCUGCCGAAUAAUGGAGAUCGAGGGCCCUACUGAAUGGAGAGUGAGGCUACCGCCGAAGCUUCAGGUUCAUAUUUUUGCAUGUUUUCGUUGCUGCUGCGGAUGGAAUUAGCUAUAAGAAGCUGAUGGUUUUAGGAGGAAACAUAGGUAAAGCUGAUGAUUUUAGUCUCAAGGUCUAUGUUCUUAAUUUGUGUGAUGGAUGACAGGAUGAACAUCAUUAUUUUGUUUGGUAAUAUGUACUGCCUCCCUUUGAUGUAAUCUCGUCAAAACUAUAUGUAGUAGCAGUUUGUGCUGUUAUACUAUCUCCCUCUGUUCAAUGGACAGUAUCAAGUUUGGUUUGAAAUUAGCUAAUUGCAUCAUACCAUCAGGCGGCAGCUACGGCUCCACUGGAAUUUAACUUCAAUUACUAAUAAAAUCAAUUCGCAUAAUCACCACCCAAAGAUACACGACUUCAAUUAUUAAUAGCAGGCACCAUAUUGCCUAAACACAACAUGCGUAUUCACCAAUUCCUUACUAAUAUCUAUCCGCCGGCGGCGGCAGCGGAACUGAGAAAAGGGGUCGGCGUUGGGCUCGGGCACUCCCAGCGGUGGCGUCACCUUGCUUUUAGCAAUUUGGGCGAGAACUCAUGACAGACGGAAAGGGAUUGCGGCGCUCUAUAUCGCUAUUGGCGAUUUGGGUGGUGCCGAUUGGAAGGACCAAUGAACGAUAAUCUUGUCUAUUGACUUAUUUUUCCAAUCAUGCCCCUGCUUAAUCAAUGGCUAGAUUAGAUUGGUACCUCAUGGUACCUAGUACUUCAUGGUACCUCAUGGUACUUCCUCAAGGAUGGAAAAAGAGCUCUUAUAGAAAUGAUGGAUAUGUAUAUCAAAUGAUGUGAGAUGAUCUGCCAUGCUUACAUGUUGAGUUCUAAAAUAUAAUAAAAUAUAGAUGAUGUACUAUACUUGUAUAACAUUUAAAAUACUUUAGGCAUUAAUUGCUACUGAAUGAUGAUGUGUUACACUCAUAUAUUGAGUUUAGUAGCUAGUCAGCAUCAAUUAUAUAGAAGAUAUGAUUUUUUUUUUUACAGCCUGGGUGCAUUUUAGGUGGAAUAUUUUCAAGUUCCAUUAGCCUACGGUGAAAACUCCACUAGGAGGGUUAAAUUCACAAACAACCCCAUAUAAAAAAACACAUAGUUAAAUAAGAUGAAUGCAUUCAGCGCAAUUAGACGCUUGGUAUUGUCAUGCUACAAUUUGUUUUGCAACUAAAAGAACAUUUUCGGAAAAAAUGUUUAGAGGAGCUUUCUUUCUUGCUUAGUCCAUAUUUAUUGGCUGCACUCUUUUAAUCAUUUUAACUAAAUUUUGGCACCUCUUCUAACACUAUCCAUAAUACUCCUUUUCAUAUGAGGCCCAUAUAUCUUGCGAUAUAUAGUAAGUUCUUAGUUUAAUAGAAAAUUAAAUGUGUUAUGUGUUUUAAGGGUUAUUUGUUCUUGCCAAAUCAAGUUUGGCUUUAAGAUCAAUAUUUUGUAUUGUGAGGAGAUAUAACAAUCAUCUACACACAAAAGAGAUAUUUUUUUUAAAUAAAGCCAUUGCACACACUACCAAUCUGUUUUGGUCCCUAAUAAAUGAUAGCAACACAUUUAGUACAGUACAAUCUUACUAGUUGAAUCAAGUGUUUAAAGGAAUCUGCUUGUAAAAGAUAUAAACAUAUGAUAGAUCUAAAAAAAUAGGUUGUAUACACCCUAAAUGAUAAUUAUAUCACACGUAGUCUACUAAAAUCAUGGAUCUGAAGAAAUGUGAUUGUAAAAUCCUUACACACAAUAGAUAUAAGAGAACGGGUUGAAUCCACUCUAAAUGAUUGUAAUACCACAAACAAAUCAUUAAUCAAAUCAUAGAUCUAAAGGAAUAUGGUUGCAAAUCCUAAACAUAAUUGAUUUUGAAGAAAGUUGCAUGAGUAUGGUGAAGCAAAAACCUGUUCCAUGAUAACUUCAGCACGCAUCAUCCAAGUUCCUCUGCUUCACUCUGCAUAUAUAUAUAUUCACAUUAAAAUUGUGAUAUUCAAUCGAUGUGCUGCAACCUAUUCAUGGUGAUGGAAAUGGGAAAUGUAGGGAGGCUAGCAAGGGUGUAUGCACGUGUAGUAGAGAAGGAAAGAAGGGCAAGGUUGGACAUUGGACAAGGCAGUGGUGAGGGGAGAUAAGGUGCUUUUAAUCCCUUAUGCUGUCAUUGCCAGUGCAUCUAACUUUGGAAUCAUAGAUAUUAACAAAAAUUGUUGCCAUAUUAACUGAUCAGUUUUUCUUUUUUCUUUAGUCACAAAUAAUGGUUCAUUUUUGGAUUUUUUUUGAGGGGAAACACAUGUCUUUUCAUAUCUAAACAUAAUAAGGCACAUGAUUCCUUACAUCAUGACUACUUCACAGGAUUCAUUUCACCACAUUAUAUCUUGUCUGGAGAAAUGACAUGAAAAAUAAACAGGCGAUAUUAGAAGAUGAUUCUUUGGAAAUUAAGGAGCUGUCACAAGUGAAUGCUACAUGCAUUGUGUUUGAUGAAUUUGGGUAAGUAUG